AGCGAACGCUGGCGGCAGGCCUAACACAUGCAAGUCGAGCGCCGUAGCAAUACGGAGCGGCAGACGGGAGAGUAACACGUGGGAACGUGCCCUUCAGUUCGGAACAACCCAGGGAAACUUGGGCUAAUACCGGAUACGUCCGAAAGGAGAAAGAUUUAUCGCUGAAGGAGCGGCCCGCGUCUGAUUAGCUAGUUGGUGAGGUAAUGGCUCACCAAGGCGACGAUCAGUAGCUGGUCUGAGAGGAUGAUCAGCCUCACUGGGACUGAGACACGGCCCAGACUCCUACGGGAGGCAGCAGUGGGGAAUAUUGGACAAUGGGCGCAAGCCUGAUCCAGCCAUGCCGCGUGGGUGAUGAAGGCCUUAGGGUUGUAAAGCUCUUUCAGCUGGGAAGAUAAUGACGGUACCAGCAGAAGAAGCCCCGGCUAACUCCGUGCCAGCCGCCGCAGUAACAC
rnacentral:rRNA from 1 species